ensembl:lncRNA
GGUGCCCGGUCAUUCAGCUGUUCAGCACCCAGGCUCUGGAACUCCCUCCCCCCACACAUAAAACAGUCAGACACCAUUUCAACCUUCAAGUCACAACUCAAAACUCACUUGUUCAAACUCGCACACAACGUCUAACUGAUCACUGUUUUGAUUGUUUUUUUUAAUUUUUUAUUUCUUAUUGCUUAUGUUUAUUUAUUUAUUUAUUUUUUCCACAAUGUCUUGCUUUUUAAAAAAUGUAUGAUGACUAUAUGCUCUGUAAGGUGACCUUGGGUGUCUUGAAAGGCGCCUCUAAAUUAAAUGUAUUAUUAUUAUUAUUAUUAAAGGAAAGACAAGGACUUAAAUACCAAACACAGGGCACACAACGAGUAACAGCUGAAACACAUUAGGGGAGGGAGCAGUAAUCACACAGGAGGGAAACUUGACCAGACAUGGGGAGAAACAAGACAGGGGUACGAAAGUAAAACAGGAAACGCAGGGAAACACAACAAAACAAGACAAGGGGCCCGUUUCAGAAAGCAGGUUAAACAAACUCUAAGCUAAAACCUUAAGUCUAGGUUGACCAACUCUGAGCUGUAAAACUCUGAAUUUUCGGUUUCAGAACAGGUGAUAACGCUUAGUUCAAUCAACUCUGAGUCAAGGUAACUCUGAGUGAAGCUUGUGCAUGAGGAUAUAAAAAGCCCUCAUCAAUGGAACACAGAUGACAUGAUUCACCAUGGCAACAAGUACUAGCAAGCCUCGUUCCUCCUACUUCUCCCCAGCGGAGUUGCAAAUCUUAAUGACUGCAUAUGCAGAAAGCGAGCAUAUCUUUUUACUCAAAAGCAAUACUAUGGCAGCAGCCAAAAAGCGGGAGCUUGCGUGGGAAAAAAAAACUGACCGAGUCAAUGCGUGAGUAUUUAUUUGAGAAAAAUAAAAUGUUUUCUCUUGAAUGUUCCACUUAUUCAACAAUUAUAUUCCAUUCGAGUGUUUGUGCGCACAGGUGCAACCCAACAGGCCCCAAACGGACUUGGCAGCAACUAAAAAUGAAAUAUAAAAAUGUAGUUGAAACAGAAAAAAGGCAGAGGCACGCAAAACAGGUGGCGGUCCACCACCACCACUUCUCACAGAGGCUGAAGAGAUGGCCCUCAGUCACAACAGUGGGCGACCCAUUGCUGAGGGCAUCUCUGGGGGGAGCUCAUUGGACCCAGCCACGCCCCAGGACACAGGGGCCUACAUAAGAGUUACUGAUGAUGGUGUAAUCUGUCUCGUGGAGCCUUCUGCCAUAACACACCUCCAUGCUGUUGAGGAUGGUGAAGACACCUUAUCAGCUGCCACAGAGAGGGAAGAUGCAGAGAGGCCUGUUGAGAGCAAUGCCGGAAGUUACAAUGAGGAAGAAGGUCCAUCAACCUCCACAGCACAGCUUACCUCAGUGCUAUGCUUAAAUUUCUUAGAAGCAGCACAGACUCCAGCCAGUCAGCCAGUGGAGGGACAAAGCCAGCUUCCCAUAGAACAGACACAGAUGAGCCAUCCAGUGCAGGCACAAGCACAGGCACAGGCACAGGCACAGGCUCGGGCUCGGGCUCGGGCACAGACACAGACACAGACACAGGCACAAGCAAAAGCACAGGGGAAGAACAGGCCUCAGCCUCAGUUACAACCACAUAGCAAGCAUCAGACCCUAAAGCAGCUGCUCCACCUAAUGAUCCAGCAGACUGGCCUCCUGUCUUAACGGACAGUAUGCGGACUGAGCUAGUGCGUAGAGGUCCAUUCAAGCCAGGAGUGGAUUUUUCUUACCCAAAAGACAAGUCCAGAGGGUUCCAUCCAGGAUUGCUACAGAGACGGCUGUCAAAUGGUGAAACGAUUCCCAGGAGCUGGCUUUCUUACUCAGUCAAAAACAACGCUGCAUUUUGUUAUUGCUGUAAACUGUUUUCCACACAAAAGCACAAAAUCAUAGGAGAAGGUGUGAAUGACUGGUCCAAUAUCAACGCAAUUCUGAA